AAGACUUUAUCUUAAUAAAAGAAUCUGAGUUGCAUUCAGGGGAUGUGGAUUAGUGUUCCGCAGGUCUUU
rnacentral:tRNA from 1 species